rnacentral:misc_RNA from 1 species
UAUUAAAAAAAAAAACCCUAUUUUUUCUUAAGCCACCUGCUCAAUCUCAACAUCUAUGAGAGAGUUUAUCGACGGCCGAAGAUAUCACCGGAAUUUCGCUACUUCCACCGACGAAGCGAAAAAAAUUCACCAAAAUCUCACUAACUUUUCUUUUCGAUUAUUAAGAGAAUAAGGGGUGUGCUGUUCCGAGCAAAUAAUCCUUCCAAGUUAUCUUAUUCGAUUAGAGAAGUUGAUAUCUUUUGUCAUUCUAUUCUGAAUAUGGCAGAUUCUGGUGAAUCUCAACAGCCUGAACCAGUGUGUAAUUUUUUCAGAAAGCCUCUGAAGAACAAGAACAUUAGAAAGAGAAUAAUUGAGGAAGAUGAAGAUGAGGAUUCAAAAAAUGAAAGCUCUUUGCUGCACAAUCAGAAAAAAGCCCCAAAACCCGACAAUAAGUUGUUCUUUUCCUCUGGACCUUCCAAAAGUUCAAUGUCCACUGAAUCAGAUGUUGAAUCUGAUAGAAAAAUCUUUCAGUUUGAGUCUUCAAAGGAAAUUCAAGUUCAACAUGAUAGUAGAGCAACAGCAACUCUAGAAACUGAAACUGAGUUCUCAAAAGAUGCUCGGGCCAUUCGUGAGAGAGCUCUUAAGCAAGCAGAGGAGGCUCUGAAAGGUAAAAAUCCAAGCUCUGGUAACGAAAAGCUGUAUAAAGGAAUUCAUGGGUAUACUGAUCAUAAAGCUGGGUUUCGAAGAGAGCAAACAAUUUCAAGUGAAAAAGCGGGUGGAGCUCAUGGGCCUCUUAGGGCCUCUGCUCAUAUUAGGGUGUCAGCAAGAUUUGAUUAUCAGCCGGACAUUUGCAAGGAUUACAAAGAAACCGGUUACUGUGGGUAUGGAGAUGCAUGUAAAUUCAUGCAUGAUCGAGGGGAUUACAAGCCUGGUUGGCAGCUGGAGAAGGAGUGGGAAGAGGCAGAGAAGAUAAGGAAGAGAAAUUUGGCUUUGGGAGAGGAUGAGGGUGGUGUAGAACAGAGUGAUGAAGAAGAAGAUGAUGAUGA